rnacentral:rRNA from 1 species
AUUGAACGCUGGCGGCAGGCUUAACACAUGCAAGUCGAGCGAGCGGCGGACGGGUGAGUAAUGUCUGGGAAACUGCCUGAUGGAGGGGGAUAACUACUGGAAACGGUAGCUAAAACCGCAAACCAUCAGAUGGGCCAAGAGGGGAUUAGCUAGUAGGUGGGGUAAUGGCUCACCUGGGCGACUAUCCCUAGCUGGGCUGAGAGGAUGACCACCCCCACUGGAACUGAGCCCCGGUCCCGACGCCUACGGGAGGCCGCAGUGGGGAAUAUUGCACAAUGGGCGCAAGCCUGAUGCAGCCAUGCCGCGUGUGUGAAGAAGGCCUUCGGGUUGUAAAGCACUUUCAGCGAGGAGGCGUUACUCGCAGAAGAAGCACCGGCUAACUCCGUGCCAGCAGCCGCGGUAAUUC